AACGAACGCUGGCGGCAGGCUUAACACAUGCAAGUCGAGCGCCCCGCAAGGGGAGCGGCAGACGGGUGAGUAACGCGUGGGAACGUACCUUUUGGUUCGGAACAACUCCGGGAAACUGGAGCUAAUACCGGAUAAGCCCUAACGGGGAAAGAUUUAUCGCCGAAAGAUCGGCCCGCGUCUGAUUAGCUAGUUGGUGAGGUAACGGCUCACCAAGGCGACGAUCAGUAGCUGGUCUGAGAGGAUGAUCAGCCACACUGGGACUGAGACACGGCCCAGACUUCUACGGGAGGCAGCAGUGGGGAAUAUUGGACAAUGGGCGCAAGCCUGAUCCAGCCAUGCCGCGUGAGUGAUGAAGGCCUUAGGGUUGUAAAGCUCUUUUGUCCGGGAAGAUAAUGACUGUACCGGAAGAAUAAGCCCCGGCUAACUUUGUG
rnacentral:rRNA from 1 species